GACAGAGGUGCCGAGCGUUAGGCGGAAUCACUGGGCUUAAAGCGUGUGUAGGCGGAUCUGUAAGUACCUUGUGAAAUCCCACGGCUCAACCGUGGAACUGCUUGGUAUACUGCGGGUCUUGAGCCACCUAGGGGCAAGUGGAACAGACGGUGGAGCGGUGAAAUGCGUAGAUAUCGUCUGGAACGCCGAAGGUGAAAACAGCUCGCUGGGGCUGCGCUGACGCUGAGACACGAAAGCCAGGGGAGCGAACGGG
rnacentral:rRNA from 1 species